UGAAUGUUGUAUUCGCUUAAGUAUAGGAAUGAAGAGAAAACAUUUUACGAAAUAUCUCAUAUUGUUAGUCUGACUGAAGCAUUACAUUAUGAAACAGUUGAAUGAAAAUAUGGCACGAAUACACUAUAUUUCUUCAAAGAGAACUUACUAGGUUCGACAGUAUUAUCCGCCAAGGCGAGAUCUUCGGCAAAAAACUCUCUUCCAGUAACCUCGAUCUUCUAAUUUCUCGAUAAUUUUAAGGCACGACAAAUCGGAGAUUGUCAAUGCGUGUU